AAGGUGGAGAGCGAUUCAAAGGGGAAAUGUAAGCUGGCCCCAGCUACAAAGCGCUCCCGAGCGCGUGUCCUGCCUCCCCGCGGGCUGCCGGGGGGGGUCCCUGCUGGAGCUGUUGCUCUCCGGUCGUUAUUUGCCCGCUGGGGCUCUGCUGUGCUCCCCCCGGGCCCAUCUCCCAGGUGCAGACACAUCACAAGGCGGCGUGUGACCUGGGCAGAGCUCAGGGGCCGGAAUUGCUUUUUUUUUCCUGCAGAAAUGAGAUAAUCGGUGCAAGGCCGCGCCGUCAGAAACGGGGACGUUUGGGAGGAAAAGCAGCGCGGGGAACAAAAGCAGCUCUGUGCCUCUGCAGCGCUGUGCCUGCAGCGCUGGGCACUGCCCACGGGCUCCUGGGGGCAGCCAGCGGCUGGGGAUGGGGCUGGGGGGGGCAGCCAAAACAUCUCGGGUGCUUUUAAAUGACUUUGGAAGUCAUUUGAAUGACUUUGGAAGUCAUUUAAAAGCGCGCAGGUGGAUAAGGCGUUUAUUUGCUGAGUGUUCGUGGAUUUUAGGCCAGAAAAAGUUACAGAUCCCUGCAGGGAGCCUGGUGGGCUCGUGGCACCAGGAGGGGGACGCCACCCGCUGCUCUGCGGCCCUGAAGCAGCCUGAGCGUAAAAACCAGGAGCAGGAGAGAAUGAGCUCAACGACCACCUGGACACCAUCGACUCCAACCUGGACAACCUUCAGACGAUGCUGACCACGCACGGCUUCAGCGUCGACACGAGCGCGCUGCUGGAUCUCUUCAGCCCCUCCAUGACGGUUACAGACAUGAACCUCCCCGACCUGGACAGCAGCCUU
rnacentral:lncRNA from 1 species